UAGUCAUAUGCUUGUCUCAAAGAUUAAGCCAUGCAUGUCUAAGUAUAAGCAAUUAUACCGNGAAACUGCGAAUGGCUCAUUAUAUAAGUUAUCGUUUAUUUGAUAGUACCUUACUACUUGGAUAACCGUGGUAAUUCUAGAGCUAAUACAUGCUAAAAAUCCCGACUUCGGAAGGGAUGUAUUUAUUAGAUUAAAAACCAAUGCCCUUCGGGGCUCACUGGUGAUUCAUGAUAACUCCUCGAAUCGCAUGGCCUUGUGCCGGCGAUGGUUCAUUCAAAUUUCUUCCCUAUCAACUUUCGAUGUUUGGGUAUUGGCCAAACAUGGUUGCAACGGGUAACGGAGGGUUAGGGCUCGACCCCGGAGAAGGAGCCUGAGAAACGGCUACUACAUCCAAGGAAGGCAGCAGGCGCGCAAAUUACCCAAUCCCGACACGGGGAGGUAGUGACAAUAAAUACUGAUACAGGGCUCUUUUGGGUCUUGUAAUUGGAAUGAGUACAAUUUAAAUCCCUUAACGAGGAACAAUUG
rnacentral:rRNA from 1 species